AUGGAGAUUGUCAAAUCUGCAGUUGUUGGCGAACUUGUGAGCCGGUUCAUCUCCUUCCUGAUGAACAAGUACCACUCCAACAGCCAUGCACAAUCAGAGAAGGUGGUGGAGAGGUUGCAGCGCCUCCUGAUGAGACUCAGCACAGUCGUUGAGGAGGCAGAUGCGCGGUACAUAACCAACUCUGUGAUGCAGUUGCAGCUCAAGAUGCUCUCGGAGGCCAUGUAUGGAGGAUACAGUGUGCUGGACACCUUGCGGUACCGAACCAUCCAAGACAGUGCAGGCUUCCAUGAGGUUAGCAUUUACGACUCAUCUUGCAGCAACUUGUAUUUAGACAUUCCCCUCAAGCGUUCUCGAACAACUGAGAAGAAUGACAAGACCAUGCGCCUUGAGUCUCAUGGUUCCUUGGAAAGCUUAGAAGUCGUAGUUGCUAACAUGACAGAAUUUGUUAUGCUUCUGGAUGGAUGUGAACGCAUGUCUCGUAGACCAUACGAUGUGUAUCUUUACACUGAAAAUUUCAUGUUCGGCCGGCACGCUGAGAAGCAAAAACUCUUGAGCUUCUUGUUGCAGCACAACAACCCUCCUGGUGAUCAUGCACCGGCCGUUCUUCCAAUCAUAGGAGGUGCUGCAAUUGGAAAGAAGACAUUGGUUGCUCAUGUGUGCAGCGACGAAAGGGUUCGCUCGCGCUUCUCCUCUAUUUUGCACUUGAAUGGAGACAGCCUUUUGAAGAUACUUGACCAUGACAGGACCAUGGAAGGGAUGAUCUUGGUAGUUAUUGAGUUUGCUUCUGAUGUGGGUGACGAUGAUUGGAAAAAGUUACACUCACUUCUCAUAACAAUGGGCAGAGGAAUCAAGAUCAUCAUUGUAAGUAAACUUAAACGAUUAGCCCGGUUUAGAUCGGUGAAACCGAUUUUCCUAAGUAUUCUAUCUUACGAUGAGUUGAGGUAUCUUUUCAAGACACUUGCAUUUGGAAGCGUAGACCCGGCGGAACACCCGCGACUAGUACAAAUAGCAGAUCAAUUUGCCAAGGUAUUGCACAAUGCGCAAGCUUCACUUGUCACAAUAAAUAAGGUCGCAGAUGUAUUGAGAAGGAACCUCGAUGCUCAGUUUUGGCGUUGCAUAUUGGACAAGGGGAUAAAAAUGGCUAAAAGAAACCUCUCCAUACAUGGUGUGCACCCGAGAAUUCUUAUAGAACAAGGUCAUCCAGUGGACAUUAGUCACAUGACAGACCUUGCUUCACAUCCACUUAGCAUGACACCUUAUACAAUUAAUGCUUCAAUCGAGAAACAACCAAGUGUGACAUUUGGGGAACUUCUAACAGAUCCUAGUGUUAGACCAAAAGGAGACUUCAUUCUAAUUUCAUGGGAAUCAAGGAUACCCCCUCAUAAAUCAUUUGUUCAUUUUGUUACAAGUCAUGCUCAGGAUACACAUGAAGCUAGUGCCGUGCCAGGGAGGAAGCGACGAGGAGUGCCAGUCUAA
rnacentral:rRNA from 1 species